rnacentral:piRNA from 1 species
UGCCACAACCAGAGAGACUACUGUAGGA